rnacentral:rRNA from 1 species
CCUACGGGUGGCAGCAGUGGGGAAUAUUGCACAAUGGGGGAAACCCUGAUGCAGCAACGCCGCGUGAGCGAUGAAGGCCUUCGGGUCGUAAAGCUCUGUCCUAAGGGAAGAAUACUGACGGUACCUCAGGAGGGAGCCACGGCUAACUACGUGCCAGCAGGCGAGGUAAUACGUAGGGGGCUGGCGUUAUCCGGAAUUACUGGGAGUAAAGGGUGAGUAGGCGGAGCUUAAAGUCAGAGGAGGAAGGCUACGGCUUAUCCGUAGUAAGCCUUUGCAACUGAGUGGCUUGAGUGCAGGAGUGGAGAGUGGAAUUCCCAGUGUAGCGGUGAAGAGCGUAGUUAUUGGGAGGAACACCAGUUGCGAAGGCGGCUCUCUGGACUGUAACUGCCGUUGAGGCACGAAAGCGUGGGGAGCGAACGGGAUUAGAUACCCUAGUAGUC